UCCCUGGUAGCUCAGACAGUAAAGCGUCUACCUACAAUGCAGGAGACUCAGGUUCGAUCCCUGGGUCGGGAA
rnacentral:tRNA from 1 species